rnacentral:rRNA from 1 species
UACGUAGGGCGCAAGCGUUGUCCGGAAUUAUUGGGCGUAAAGCGCGCGCAGGCGGUCCUUUAAGUCUGAUGUGAAAGCCCACGGCUCAACCGUGGAGGGUCAUUGGAAACUGGAGGACUUGAGUGCAGAAGAGGAAAGUGGAAUUCCAAGUGUAGCGGUGAAAUGCGUAGAGAUGUGGAGGAACACCAGUGGCGAAGGCGACUUUCUGGGCUGUAACUGACGCUGAGGCGCGAAAGCGUGGGGAGCAAACAGG